UGCAGUCGAACGAAGUAGCAAUACUUAGUGACAGACGGGUGAGUAACAUGUAGGUAUCUACCCUUUGGCCUGGAAUAACACGAGGAAACUUGUGCUAAUACCGGAUAAGUCUUUACGGAGAAAGCUUUAUGCACCAUUGGAUGAGCCUGCACUUGAUUAGUUUGUUGGUAGGGUAAUGGCCUACCAAGACUUUGAUCAAUAGCUGAUUUGAGAGGAUGAUCAGCCACAUUGGGACUGAGACACGGCCCAAACUCCUACGGGAGGCAGCAGUGGGGAAUCUUGCACAAUGGAGGAAACUCUGAUGCAGCGAUGCCGCGUGAGUGAAGAAGGCCCUUGGGUUGUAAAGCUCUUUCGUCGGGGAAGAAAAUGACUGUACCCGAAUAAGAAGGUCCGGCUAACUUCGUGCCAGCAGCCGCGGUAAUACGAAGGGACCUAGCGUAGUUCGGAAUUACUGGGCUUAAAGAGUUCGUAGGUGGUUGAAAAAGUUGGUGGUGAAAUCCCAGAGCUUAACUCUGGAACUGCCAUCAAAACUUUUCAGCUAGAGUUUGAUAGAGGAAAGCAGAAUUUCUAGUGUAGAGGUGAAAUUCGUAGAUAUUAGAAAGAAUACCAAUUGCGAAGGCAGCUUUCUGGAUCAUUACUGACACUGAGGAACGAAAGCAUGGGUAGCGAAGAGGAUUAGAUACCCUCGUAGUCCAUGCCGUAAACGAUGUGUGUUAGACGUUGGAAAUUUAUUUUCAGUGUCGCAGCGAAAGCGAUAAACACACCGCCUGNNNAGUACGACCGCAAGGUUAAAACUCAAAUGAAUUGACGGGGACCCGCACAAGUAGUGGAGCAUGUGGUUUAAUUCGAAGANACGCGCAGAACCUUACCAACACUUGACNUGUUCGUCGCGACUUUAAGAGAUUAAAGUUUUCGG
rnacentral:rRNA from 1 species